rnacentral:tRNA from 1 species
UCCCAGGUGGCUCAGUGGGUAAAGAACCUGCCUGUAAUGCAGGAGACGCAGGAGACUUGGGUUCAAUUCCUGGGUUGGGAA